CCUACGGGAGGCAGCUGUGAGGAAUAUUGGUCAAUGGACGAGAGUCUGAACCAGCCAAGUAGCGUGAAGGAUGACUGCCCUAUGGGUUGUAAACUUCUUUUAUAUGGGAAUAAAAUGUUCCACGUGUGGGAUUUUGUAUGUACCAUAUGAAUAAGGAUCGGCUAACUCCGUGCCAGCAGCUGCGGUAAUACGGAGGAUCCGAGCGUUAUCCGGAUUUAUUGGGUUUAAAGGGAGCGUAGGUGGAUUGUUAAGUCAGUUGUGAAAGUUUGCGGCUCAACCGUAAAAUUGCAGUUGAAACUGGCAGUCUUGAGUACAGUAGAGGUGGGCGGAAUUCGUGGUGUAGCGGUGAAAUGCUUAGAUAUCACGAAGAACUCCGAUUGCGAAGGCAGUUCACUGGACUGCAACUGACACUGAGGCUCGAAAGUGUGGGUAUCAAACAGGAUUAGAUACCCUUGUAGUC
rnacentral:rRNA from 1 species